UGGGGAAUCUUGCGCAAUGCGCGAAAGCGUGACGCAGCAACGCCGCGUGGGGGAAGAAGGCCUUCGGGUUGUAAACCCCUUUCAGUUGGGACGAAGCUUCGCCGGUUAAUAGCCGGCUGGAGUGACGGUACCUUCAGAAGAAGCCCCGGCUAACUACGUGCCAGCAGCCGCGGUAAUACGUAGGGGGCUAGCGUUGUCCGGAAUCAUUGGGCGUAAAGCGCGUGUAGGCGGCCCGGUAAGUCCGCUGUGAAAGUCGGGGGCUCAACCCUCGGAUGCCGGUGGAUACUGUCGGGCUCGAGUACGGAAGAGGCGAGUGGAAUUCCUGGUGUAGCGGUGAAAUGCGCAGAUAUCAGGAGGAACACCAAUUGCGAAGGCAGCUCGCUGGGACGUUACUGACGCUGAGACGCGAAAGCGUGGGGAGCAAACAGG
rnacentral:rRNA from 1 species